rnacentral:tRNA from 1 species
UGGAUUUGAACCAACGACCUUCGGGUUAUGAGCCCGACGAGCUACCAGACUGCUCCACCCCGCGUCAAAGCUGGUGC